GAUGAACGCUGGCGGCGUGCCUAAUACAUGCAAGUCGAGCGAACAGACGAGGAGCUUGCUCCUCUGACGUUAGCGGCGGACGGGUGAGUAACACGUGGAUAACCUACCUAUAAGACUGGGAUAACUUCGGGAAACCGGAGCUAAUACCGGAUAAUAUAUUGAACCGCAUGGUUCAAUAGUGAAAGACGGUUUUGCUGUCACUUAUAGAUGGAUCCGCGCCGCAUUAGCUAGUUGGUAAGGUAACGGCUUACCAAGGCGACGAUGCGUAUCCGACCUGAGAGGGUGGUAGGCCACACUGGAACUUGGACACGGUCCUGACUCCUACGGGAGGCAGCAGUAGGGAAUCGUCCGCAAUGGGCGAAAGCCUUACGGAGCAACGCCGCGUGAGUGAUGAAGGUCUUCGGAUCGUAAAACUCUGUUAUGAGGUAAGAACAAAUGUGUAAGGAACUAUGCACGUCUUGACGGUACCUAAUCAGAAAGCCACGGCUAACUACGUG
rnacentral:rRNA from 1 species